ensembl:lncRNA
AUUUGAUUGGCUUGGGAGUUGCAUAAGAGUUAGUAAAGCACAUUUGUUCCUAGGUGGGUCAUGGAGGUGUUAGCUUGAGUACUAUAUAUGGUCCCUGGUUUUCCUCUCUGGCACUCUUCCCAUGCUCUGCUUCCCACCGGCCAUGAACUGAGCAGCUUUGCUCCACCACACGCUUCUGCUGUGAUAUUUCUGCUUCAGAGCCAGCCUACCAUGGACUGAAUCCUCUGAAACCAUGAAUCAAAUUAAACGUCUCUUUUAAGUUGUCAGGCAUUAAUCAUAAUCAUUAAUCAUAACAUGUCACCUUGAGUAGAUUAUGAAAUGACUAGCAGAUUAGUGAAGCACAGUUCUGGGUAUAUCUAUGGAUGAUUGACAAGUAGGCCAGCAAACUGAGGGAGUAAGACCCAUCUUGGAUGUGGAUGGGACCAACCAGUAGGCUUGUAGCCUGGUUGGAAUAAAAACAGAAAGAAGAAAUAAAUUUCUCUGUUUUGGAAGAGUUCUAGUCUUCACCAUCACCUUUGGACAUUGUCAAUCUCCAGUUCCUUCAGCCUUUCUACACAGGUCCUUCUGGACAACUCUACAGUGAACUUCUAGGCCUUUGACCUUGAACUUGUGUUUUAUCCUUGAUUCUACUUGUUCUGUGGCUUCCAUCUUGGGAUGAGCAGCUACUGGAUCUCUGGCUCUCUAGUUCACAGGUGGCCAUUUUGGAUUUUUCCACCUCUGAUCUUGCAAAUGGUCACUGUGGACUUUUCCACCUCUGAUUCUGUAAGCCUACCUAAUAAAUCCCUUUGCAUAAUUACCAUGUAUUUCUCUUGAUUCUAUUUGUCUAGAGAACCCUAAUAAUGCAGUGCCAAAUAUUGAUGUAAUCUGGAGAUGGAAAACACAAGGAAGGUCAUUUUACAUGGCUUAAAUUUGAAAUGCAACAAAAUAGCAUAUCACAAGUAAAUGACACUUGCUUUCUUUCCGGAAUUCACAAGCUGAACUGAUUGGCCAAAUCUGAGAAAGUGGCACCUUCUCUUCCCAAUGGACUUCCAUAGCCUCUGGUUGCACCUGCUGGUUCUCUCUACCAAGGUCUCACCUCACCCAGGCACAAAUAUGCCAAGAAGCCAUCUGCCAAUGGUGGGAACUGACAGCUGCUCCACGGUGCUCAUCAGAGACCUUGAUUUCCACAUUGUGUAAGCAAGGAUAACCCAAGUGAACAGACCAAAGACUUUCUGUCUUGGAGAUCUUUCCCCAGAGUGUAUGUCCUACUUUCCCACCUGCCAUAGUGGAGAGUACCUUCUCAAACCACAUCCUAGAACUCCCAGUAAGGUAGGCAUAGGAACAAUUUGCCCAUCACCAUUAGUAGGAAAGGGGCAGAAAUUAGGAGAUACAAAGGGAAGAGACAUGUGUAUGUGUGUGUGUGUUUUUUCGUUUUUCUUCUCAUUUCUAGAAGACAAGGAGGAUAUUUAGGUAAGAGGAGAAAAAGAUUUACAGUUUUACUCAGACCACAAUGGAAAUCUGAAAUGGAAAUGCUAACCAUCUGCAAAGCGAUAGUAACAUUUGCAAAAGAACUGUCAUGUUAAAAUAUUUGCAGACUUUAUCAUUAGACAAACAUAAUAUUGUCCAACUUUUCUCCAUAAGUUCUGAAGAAGCUAAAACAUGUUAAUUGAUGGUAAAGAUGGCUUCAGAAUUACUUUUAUCCCCCAGGGUUAGACAUGUUACCUUUAUGUCAAAAAUAAUCACAAAAUUAAAUAAAGCAGGUAACAAGCAAGACUUUGCUAUAUAUUUUAUUGCACUUUUUUCCUUUUAUGUAAUAGCUAAUAGGAGUCAGGCAAAUACACCACAAGUUGAAGGAGAAUAUUAUCCUGUUCAUUCUUCCAGCUGUGAUCUGAGGAAGCAGAUCCUGUCCAUGGGGAAAACAUUUUUAAAAACAUAUAAACAUUAGCUAUCCACAAUAUAAUCAAUAUUGAAGCUACAAUUAAAGGAAAUGAUUAUCUUACUAUCUCUCUCUCUGACGAAGAAGGGGCUAGAGUUCUUUUGUUCUGGAUGACUGGGCAGCUUCUGAUCACUUUGGGUAAAAUGACAGGUAGACUUCCAACCCCGUGCGCUGAGCCACGCAUAGUCCCCAUGAGAUUCACUUCACAGUAAAAGAAAACACUUGCAUCAAUCUUGAUUCAUAGUCAUUCCAAGCAACUGAAGCAAACAUGCUUUUGGAUUAAAAUAUUCAGGUAUUUGUUUUAGUUGUCUUUUUCUUCCCAAUACCAAUUACAGACAAAAUUCUUUAGGUAAUGGAAGAAUAAAAUGAUGCUCAACACUGUCACCAAAUCAUGUCUAAAAUUUGUCCACAGUCUCAGGGACUGGUCCAGAAUUUGGAUUCUGGCACUUCUUGAAAGUCAUGCCCCAGGACACAUGCAAAGUCUUCCUUCAGUAAAAGCAGGGUGGUCCUUCAGAGACUAAGAAGGCAGCUGCCUGCCAGAAGGUCUUUGUGGAUUGCAGAAUUUCAGGCGCUCACACCUCUUAAUCCAGCACCAAAGACAGCCUGGCUGCCUCUCAGCCUCCAAUGUGCUGGUACAGCUGCAAAGAGCUAACUUUGGCAGCCAUAGAUCAUGGAGGCUUUGUCUCAGCUUCUCUCAGAAUAGCUUUUCAUCAGGAGACUCAGAACAUUUCUUAAAGCAAAUGCAGGAAGAAGAGGGAAAACGAAAUUCAUGGCUGCCAUAAAGAAAGAUCCUGUUUUGAAUCUUUGCGUUUUCUUGCAUAUCUACAGUGCAAGGGAUAUAUUACUUCUGGUUUAUGAAAGCUUGAUGUGGCAAAAAGAGCCAUGGAUUUGGAGCUGGAACAAUUUGGAAUCCAGUUCCAGCUUUGUCUAUAGUUCACAAGUAACUGAGUUUAGCUUCUUUGACCUUGGUUUCCUCAUCUGGAAAAUGAGAGGGUUUGGCUAGUUGAUCUUUGACCUAAUGAUUCUAUGAAAAGUGAAUGCUGGAAGCACAUGUUCACCUUCUCCAGUUACCAGCUGUGGGUAUAUGACUGGACCAAAUGGCACUAACUGUUGAAACGUUAAAUUUAGGGUGAAGGGAAAGCAGUAACUGUUGAAAUGUUUUAGGCUGAAGGGGAAGCAUUCUGAAAUGGGACAAGGGCACCUCAUGUUGAAACCUGGAGCUAGUCAACCCUCCAAUGCCAGGGGCAACAUUUGCUUCUGUCUCCCACCUAGCAUUUGUUUAGUUGGAAGUCUCCUCAGGACCAAAACUCUGAUCCAUAAUGUGUCUACCUAGCUUUAUGAGCAGUAUGAAUCAGGUAUUUUCCAAAAAAUUUAACUGUUUCUGUAACUGUUCUAUAAUUGUUCUAUAAGCUAACAGACUCAGAUAAUCUAGUCUUUAUAUCUGUUCCUUUUGGGUUAUGGCUAAGUAUUUCUGUUGGGAUCGUAUUUCUGCUCUCAAGGAAACACCAUUCUACUUUCGCUUCUCCCAAAUAGCUACUGAGAGGAGAUGCUUACUUUUCUUGAACAUGACAGUUGAGAGAGGGGCCUUUGGUCCAAGCUGUCCUCCCCAUCUUCUCUGGCCUCUAUCAGGUCAAUGAGCAACUUGUAUUGAUUUCCACCAGACAUGGCUAGUCCCACUUAGACUUUGGGCACCUCAUGUUACCAUCCGGCACUUUGCUAUUAAUUCUGGAUUUGAGGUACUGGCUCAUUGUGAAUUUAUUUUCUUGGACUCAGGACUUAUUUGAUUCACCAACUUUUUUUAGUGCACGUUGUCCAGCUUGGACAACAGGAAAUUCUGGAGCUCCUAUAUGUGACAUAAAAACUUAGGGAAUUGUGAUAGUGUAUCAGGCACUUGCUCUUUGCCAACUUCUUCCAUAUUACAAUUCCUAAUCUCCUUCAGCCUUCCUCAUCCCACCCACAAUAGUGCAAGACACCUGGUGAGGUUGACUCCUCCCAGAAUGGCCCAAGGCUGCUGCUACUCUAGGUCACGAGUUGUUGAUUUUUGGUGUGUGCCAUGGAAAGGAUGGAAGUGGAUGCAGUCCUGGACCAUUUUCCAUCUUAAUUUGUGAAUUUACAAAACAAUAGACUCUUGUCUUCAAAUUGACAUGGUUUCCCAAGUGAGGCGGGAGGGUGAGUUUGUUUGUGUGUGUGUGCAUGUGCGCACACAUAUAUUAUGACCUAGAGGAGUGGUUCUUAAACAUUAGCCUGCAAACAGUGGCCUGGAGUAUUUGUUAAAACAGACUUCUGGGUUUCACACCCAGUUUU